rnacentral:lncRNA from 1 species
AUAUAUUUUCUUCUUAAAUACUUUUAUAACAUGAAUAAAAAUGCCAGUUUUAAAUAAUGCAAAGCAGACCAAAUAACAUUUAUGAAUAAUAAAAAUAAAUUUUGAUUUCAGAAAUUAUAUAAAAUCAGACUAACUUACACUAAAAAAGACAUGGCUAUUUCCCCCGAAUAACUUACAUGAUCAUUGAAGAAUCUUAAAAAAAAUAAUUCUGUUUUUAUGUCAACUGAUUUUUCCAUAUACAAACUGAUUUUUGUAAGAAAUUUAUUAGCUGUCAAUUAUCUCUUUUGGUACGACUUUUGACACAAAUAUUACAUACAGAAAUACAAUGUUAAUGAUUGUUCUGCAACCGAUAGUAGGUAGAGUAACAUAAUACUGAAGGCUAAGCCGCCAUGUAAUGGUCUUGAUUACAGAUAUAUAUAAUUCAAGUACCAGUGCUGUAAAUUCAGAAUUCUGAAUUUACAGAAAUCAAAGUUUAGUAAGAGUUAUCAAUGCAGUUUUUGUAAUAUUGUGAAUUUUUCAUACAACUUCGACAUAAUAAGACUACAUUUUUUGAUAAUUUAAUAGUUGCUGACCAACAUACUUUUUUCUUAAACAAAAAGAAAAAAAAUUUGACUGCAUUAUGGUUUAACAAGCUUUGAUUGGCAAUACUGUGCCAUUUUCUUCAACAAGUGCAUGCUGUUUACAAGACAACAGGUUAAUAUAAAAAUACAUUUUAAAAAUAAACAUUCCAAGUGAUUUUGUUUAAAGCUUGAAAUUGUAAAGACAUUUUUGUAAAUUGGAUAUAACCAAAUGCAAUCCUGUUGCAGUAAACAAGUUGAGUAAUAUAUAAGGUACAUGUAUACGAAACACAGAAAUGCUGUCUUUUAAUAAUAAACAUACAUUUUCACUUGCUAAUCAAGCUCAGACACCUAUCAUAAGCCUUUAUAAAAUUGAGACAUUAAAAUUGAAGUGUCAUGACAACUAUUACUGUCUGAACUUUAAAAAGGCAAUAGUAAAAGGGAAGUGUGGACUGAUUUGAAAAAAAAAUAAGUACUGAAUUAUGAGUCAAAUGAAGUUAUGUUCCAAUUGCAGAAUCAAGAAACAUAAAAUGG